UUCGAACCAUAAGGCGCACUGCAGAUGAGGAGGUCUAUUUUCAUUCAAAAGGCGCAUUAAAGGGGUCAUAUUAUGAUUUUAUUUUUUCUACAUUCAAAACACUUCCUUGUGGUCUAUGUAACCCAUAUUUAAAAUAUCCAUUGAAAACAUGCAUACAGUGCAAAGACUUUUAUUGUGGAGGGUUACUUCCUGCCGCUCACUUCCUUUUAAGGAAGUGCUGCUCACUUCACCACCCCCUCCCGUAUCUGCUGUGGCUGCGGUGCUGUGAGAAGCGCUUGAGAAGAAACUUGCAAUAUCUUCUCAUUCUCACACUUUGCAAACUUCAUAAUUAGAGCUGCCAUGUUCGAUUAAUUAUCGGGCCGUUCAUGGUAUGUUGUUUUUGCCCUCGAUUACUCAGGUCAGGUUUUUUUUCCGGGAAGGAAUACCCGUUGACCCAAACAACCUGAGCUCCCUAUCCACCUUCAAACUCAACUCAACAAAUGGCGAGCUAAACAACUACGCGGUAGGACAAGCAUUUUUUUUCUCCUCCGCGGCGAACCUUUUGGAUUACUUUUGUUUUUGAACUGAACUUUUGGACUGACGCGAAAGCGUUUGCAUACCUUUUGAACUGAACUGUGAACUGGUUCCGAGAAAGCAGCAGGACUCCAUCUUGUAUUUUUGUUUUGGGCUUUUUCUUUUUUUUUUCCUAUUGUGUCAUUUGUGGCAUUUAUAUUCUUGUUCAAUACAUUUAAUGCAGUCAAAACCAAAAUAACUAGUCGUCAUCAUCUUUCAUACCACAGGCUCCUGGACCAACCAUCUUCUGUCACACUGUUUACAUUCUUAACCUGCCUAGCCCAUGCUAGCGUUACAUCUACAUAACAUGUAAUGGUGGUUAUUUGGUCAAAAUGUUGCAUAGAUUAUGUUUUACAGAUCAUCUUCAAGACGCUUUUUCUCUUCUGGAUGCGCUGUUUUAUGGUCUUAUUUACGUCAACAGCGUCUUCUCCUCAUCAUCUUUGUUGUAUCGGUAGUUUUUAGCGCUUCCAUGGCGAGUCUACUGACCAUACUU